rnacentral:rRNA from 1 species
GUGGGGAAUCUUAGACAAUGGGGGAAACCCUGAUCUAGCCAUGCCGCGUGAUCGAUGAAGGCCUUAGGGUUGUAAAGAUCUUUCAGCUGGGAAGAUAAUGACGGUACCAGCAGAAGAAGCCCCGGCUAACUCCGUGCCAGCAGCCGCGGUAAUACGGCGGGGGCUAGCGUUGUUCGGAAUUACUGGGCGUAAAGCGCACGUAGGCGGAUUGGAAAGUUGGGGGUGAAAUCCCGGGGCUCAACCCCGGAACUGCCUUCAAAACUCCCAGUCGUGAGGUCGAGAGGGGUGAGUGGAAUGCCGAGUGUAGAGGUGCAAGUCGUAGAUACUCGGAGGAACACGAGUGGCGAAGGCGGCUCACUGGCUCUCUACUGACGCUGAGGUGCGAAAGCGUGGGGAGCAAACAGGAUUAGAAACUCCUGUAGUCC